rnacentral:rRNA from 1 species
AACGAACGCUGGCGGCAUGCCUAACACAUGCAAGUCGAACGAGACCUUCGGGUCUAGUGGCGCACGGGUGCGUAACGCGUGGGAACCUGCCCUUAGGUUCGGAAUACCUCCCCGAAAGGGGUGCUAAUACCGGUUAAUGUCUUCGGACCAAAGAUUUAUCGCCUUUGGAUGGGCCCGCGUUGGAUUAGCUAGUUGGUAGGGUAAAAGCCUACCAAGGCGACGAUCCAUAGCUGGUCUGAGAGGAUGAUCAGCCACACUGGGACUGAGACACGGCCCAGACUCGUACGGGAGGCAGCAGUGGGGAAUAUUGGACAAUGGGCGAAAGCCUGAUCCAGCAAUGCCGCGUGAGUGAUGAAGGCCUUAGGGUUGUAAAGCUCUUUUACCCGGGAUGAUAAUGACAGUACCGGGAGAAUAAGCUCCGGCUAACUCCGUG